UCCCUGGCAGUUCUGUGGUUAGGGCUCUGUGCUUCCAUUGCAGGGGCCAGGGUUCAAUCCCUGGUCAGGGAA
rnacentral:tRNA from 1 species